rnacentral:rRNA from 1 species
AUUGAACGCUGGCGGCAGGCCUAACACAUGCAAGUCGAGCGAGCGGCGGACGGGUGAGUAAUGUCUGGGAAACUGCCUGAUGGAGGGGGAUAACUACUGGCAACGGUAGCUCAUACCGCAUACCAUCAGAUGUGCCCAGAUGGGAUUAGCUAGUAGGUGGGGUAAUGGCUCACCUAGGCGACGAUCCCUAGCUGGUGUGAGAGGAUGACAAGGAAUAGUGGAACGGAGACACGGGCCAGACUCCUACGUGAGGCAGAAAUGGGGACUAUUGCACAAUGGGCGCAAGCCUGAUGCAGCCAUGCCGCUGGUGUGAAGAAGGCCUUCGGGUUUUAAAGCACUUUCAGCGGGGAGGCGUUACCCACAGAAGAAGCACCGGCUAACGCCGUGCCAGGCGCCGCGGUAAGUC